rnacentral:lncRNA from 1 species
UUUCCCUUUCCCGCUGCUCACGAAAUCCCAGCCCUAAUAUCAGAGCAUGGAAAUUGAACAGCAAACAACCCAAUAAAGGAGUAGGCGACGACGACGGCGACGGCUGCGUUCCAGACGGUGGAUUUCGGCGGCUGCGUUCCAAACGGUGGUAAGUUUAUCAUCAAUCUCUAAUUGUUGAAAUCCUAAGUCUCCGCCGCACUCCAUCCGCCUUAAUCUCCGACGCCACUCCGAAAACGGGUAUAAUUGUUAAUUGCAGAAUGAGAGGGGCUGGAGAGGCUGCAAGAACUGCUGGAGUGGGAGCUUAUUCAAAUAGAUUAGGAGAACCUCCUAGCCAGGUUGAAGUUGGAGAUGUGGUCAGAGGUGACUGAGACAUUAGGGUCUUCAUAUGGGACAACGGGGGUGGCGUGCUUAUGGCUAUAAUGGCGGUGACCGGAGGUUUGAUUCCAGUGUAAAGGAGUAGGCGACGGCGACGAUAUAUCCUCAAGUCGGCGGCUGCGUUCCAGACGGUGGAUUACGACAGCUGAGUUCUAGACGGUGGUGAAACACAUACAAAUAUAACUAUG